rnacentral:tRNA from 2 species
GCCCGUCUGGCGAAAUUGGCAGACGCGCUGGCUUCAGAAGUCAGUGUCCGCAAGGACGUCCGAGUUCAAGUCUCGGGAUGGGCA